rnacentral:rRNA from 1 species
CGGUCCCUAAGGCGAGGCUGAAAAGCGUAGUCGAUGGAAAACAGGUUAAUAUUCCUGUACUUCUGGUUAUUGCGAUGGAGGGACGGAGAAGGCUAGGCCAGCUUGGCGUUGGUUGUCCAAGUUUAAGGUGGUAGGCUGGAAUCUUAGGUAAAUCCGGGAUUUCAAGGCCGAGAGCUGAUGACGAGUCGUCUUUUAGACGACGAAGUGGUUGAUGCCAUGCUUCCAAGAAAAGCUUCUAAGCUUCAGGUAACCAGGAACCGUACCCCAAACCGACACAGGUGGUUGGGUAGAGAAUACCAAGGCGCUUGAGAGAACUCGGGUGAAG